rnacentral:rRNA from 1 species
UACGUAGGGUGCUAGCGUUGUUCGGAAUCAUUGGGCGUAAAGCGCGUGUAGGUGGUCAUCUAAGUCGAGUGUGAAAGCCCCGGGCUCAACCUGGGAAGUGCAUCCGAAACUAGUUGACUAGAAGACAGUAGAGGAAGGUGGAAUUCCAAGUGUAGAGGUGAAAUUCGUAGAUAUUUGGAGGAAUACCGGCGGCGAAGGCGGCCUUCUGGGCUGUUCUUGACACUGAGACGCGAAAGCGUGGGUAGCAAACAGG